rnacentral:piRNA from 1 species
UAGCAUUUUGGUGUUUUGGUUGUUGA